ACACACCAACCAAACAAUGUACUAUAUUAUGCUGGUUUUUAUACACAGAUUAACUGUAAUAAAACAUUAGCCAAAUGGCACCUUAUUGAAUUAGACUACACAGACUUACACAUUAGCGAGGCCUCAAUACCCAAAGGUUCAUUGAAAAGCUUUAAUACUGGGUUCAACUAUACCUAGGCAUAACUUCAUUCUAUGGCUGGCAAUUCAUCACAGACUUACCACUGUUGAUAGACUGGCAGCUUGGGGGAUACAGGUAGCAAAUGAAUGCGUAUUGUGCAACAGUGGGAAAACAGAAACAAUGGUCCAUCUCUUUUUUGAAUGUCUACUCAAGGACCAUCUGGAGUACAAUGCUCAAUUGGUUGGGAGAGAGACAUCCAGUUGGACUUUGGGAGGAGGAAGUCUUCUGGCUGACGACAAGAACAAAAAAUGGUAGGCCUUGAAAUAGCAUAUUAGUAUUCCUGUUUGCAGCCGUGGUUUAUCAUACAUGGAUAGAAAGAAAUAUGCGCAAAUUUCAGGGGCAAAAGACUGAUACCAAAACAAGAAUUCGAAAUAUUGUCCUUCACCUACAUAUCAAAGGGAAACAGAAGACUAGAUGUAAGAAGAUAUUAGAAGGAGUCAAUAGUUUUCCUUUAUGAAUAAAUGAUAGUAUAAGUAGUAGAGGGACUAUUGAAAUGUAAAUAACAGUUUAGGUAUUGUUUCUUUUUUUGAGUCUAGCUCUUUAGUCCAAAGGAUCUAGAGGAGCCAUAAUUAUCUUUAUUUGUUGAAUAAAAUCUUUUGAUAUUUGACCAAAAAUAAAUUAGACUACACAAGCCUUUUUACUCUUGUUUAAUUAAACCCUCCAUCUAUCUUUAAUUAGGGGCUAAUUAGCCAUUUUAAAAUGGAAAAUUGGCAGAAAUGUACAACUUCUUUACACUUGUUUGCACCCCUUGUGAAACAAAUAUAUUUUGCCAUGGUAGCCCAACAAAAAAUAGCAACCGCUAGCGAAAUCUCACAAACAUACGUGAAUUUUCUUCUCACUCGCUUAAUUCCUCUUCCUUCUUCUGAUCUGCUCCAACUUCUUCUCUUCAUUUCAUUUCCCUUACCCCAUAACUCUUCAUUUACAUAGGCCUAGAGAGAGAUAAAAAUAUGAAAUGAGUGUAGAUAGGCUGCUUUCAGGUGUCCUUUUGAACCUCCAAUAUCAAUACUCUCUAAUUUGGUGAAUAGUCGAAGAAGGUUCUAAAGAACCACAAUUAAAGACUAAUUUGAGGCUUCAACUCGAAAUCUGAAAUUUCUUAGUAUUUGUUUUUGAAUUUUGAGAGAGUGUGGUUG
rnacentral:lncRNA from 1 species